rnacentral:misc_RNA from 1 species
AAGUCGUAACAAGGUUUCCGUAGGUGAACCUGCGGAAGGAUCAUUACAAAAUUCCAAACAUAUCAUUUGUGAAUGCGGUCCUAGAAACUAGGCCGAGCUGUGCGGCAGGUCUGUGGGCCUACUGCACAGAUAUAAACUAUUGGUUGUCUAAAAGUGUGAACUAAAAUACAAAACAACACUUGACAGUGGAUCUCUUGGCUCUU